UACGAGGGGGGCGAGCGUUGUUCGGAAUUAUUGGGCGUAAAGGGUGUGUAGGUGGCGCCGUAAGUCGGGUGUGAAAUUUCGGAGCUUAACUCCGAAACUGCAUUCGAUACUGCGGUGCUUGAGGACUGGAGAGGAGACUGGAAUUCAUGGUGUAGCAGUGAAAUGCGUAGAGAUCAUGAGGAAGACCAGUGGCGAAGGCGGGUCUCUGGACAGUUCCUGACACUGAGACACGAAGGCCAGGGGAGCAAACGGG
rnacentral:rRNA from 1 species